CGGCCCCAAACUUCCUACCGGGAGGCAGCAGUAGGAAUCCUGCACAUUGACGAAGGUCGAUGAGCAACGCCGCGUGAGUGAGAGGUUUUCGGAUCGUAAACUCUGUGUCAGAGAAGAACGUGUGCGAGAGUAACUGUUCGUGCAGUGACGGUAUCUGACCAGAAAGCCACGGCUAACUACGUGCCAGCAGCCGCGGUAAUACGUAGGUGGCAAGCGUUGUCCGGAUUUAUUGGGCGUAAAGGGAACGCAGGCGGUUUUUUAAGUCUGAUGUGAAAGCCUUCGGCUUAACCGAAGUCGUGCAUUGGAAACUGGAGAACUUGAGUGCAGAAGAGGAGAGUGGAACUCCAUGUGUAGCGGUGAAAUGCGUAGAUAUAUGGAAGAACACCAGUGGCGAAAGCGGCUCUCUGGUCUGUAACUGACGCUGAGGUUCGAAAGCGUGGGUAGCAAACAGGAUUAGAUACCCUGGUAGUCCACGCUGUAAACGAUGAAUGCUAAGUGUUGGAGGGUUUCCGCCCUUCAGUGCCGCAGCUAACGCAUUAAGCAUUCCGCCUGGGGAGUACGACCGCAAGGUUGAAACUCAAAGGAAUUGACGGGGGCCCGCACAAGCGGUGGAGCAUGUGGUUUAAUUCGAAGCAACGCGAAGAACCUUACCAGGUCUUGACAUCUUCUGCAAGCCUGAGAGAUCAGGUGUUCCCUUCGGGGACAGAAUGACAGGUGGUGCAUGGUUGUCGUCAGCUCGUGUCGUGAGAUGUUGGGUUAAGUCCCGCAACGAGCGCAACCCUUAUUGCCAGUUGCCAGCAUUCAGUUGGGCACUCUGACAAGACUGCCGGUGACAAACCGGAGGAAGGUGGGGAUGACGUCAAAUCAUCAUGCCCCUUAUGACCUGGGCUACACACGUGCUACAAUGGACGAUACAACGAGUUGCUAGACCGCGAGGUUAAGCUAAUCUCUUAAAGUCGUUCUCAGUUCGGAUUGCAGGCUGCAACUCGCCUGCAUGAAGUCGGAAUCGCUAGUAAUCGCGGAUCAGCAUGCCGCGGUGAAUACGUUCCCGGGCCUUGUACACACCGCCCGUCACACCAUGAGAGUUUGUAACACCCAAAGCCGGUGGGGUAACCAUUAGGAACCAGCCGUCUAAGGUGGGACAGAUGAUUGGGGUGAAGUCGAACAACGUGCAGG
rnacentral:rRNA from 1 species